AAAGUAGACUAAUCAAGCGAAUCGAUCCAGACAUACACAAAAUCGAUCCAAAUUAAGUUGAAGGGGCAACAAUAAUUGCUUAAUCUAUAUUUUAAUUGAUCCAGAUUAAGUUAAAGGGGCAACAAUAAUUGCUUAAUCUAUAUUUUAAAUUCAACACUAAACAAAAGCAGAUCCAUUUUUAAUGGUAAGCAUACAUGAAUUUCUUUGAAUUAAACUUCAGUUCGAAUUAAACUUGUAGCCAAUGGACCUGUAAGUAAAGUACGAGACUAUUGUGGAGUCAAUGGGAUGCAUUAAAAGAUAUGACCCAGAAGCACGGUUAGACACUUGAAAAUAUACAAAAGAACCAUCUAAUACUUGCAAAUUCAAUAGGCUGCCAGAAAGAUAUUCUGCCUAAGUAGUGAAAUGCACGUACUCAAGUCACGUAAUACGUUUCUUCUAGUUGGAACACAAAUUCAAUAUUAGCCAUAGUACCCCUCAUUCUCUGUUGUUAACAAUUGGUUUUCAAAAGUAAGCUAAACGAUAUCAAGUUGAACCAAAAUAAAAACAAUAUACAACAUAUGUUAAAAACUGAAGUCUCACACCAAAUAACCAAAUACCUAAUGUCCAGCUAAGUGAAAAGUUUACUAACAAAAUAGUAACCUCUCACUCCACUAUUUUUUGUGUGUCGGGCUCCGGCUUUAGUACAGUUAAUGCACUAGUUGCAUCAUCUUCUUUGUCAAAAACCUACAACAAUCUGCAAAUUUCUGACCAAAACAAGCUCAUACUUCAUAUAUAAUCAUCCAUCAAAUUGAAGCUCAGAAUCCCUAAUUCUUUUCAUGGGCAUAUAUGUGCUUGUCCACAUGAAAUUAUAAAGGUGAGAAUUGAAUUCCUAAACCCAAAAAUGUAAAAGGAAAAAGACACAACGAGAAAAAAAAUGAAAUUCCAAAAGGUUACCCAGUGAAAUGGUUGAUAGUCGGUUUAAAAUAUAAUUAACAAGAUAAGUGUAUAACAGGUUCGUCAAUACAUUGCCAUUCCAAAAAGUAGGACUAAAACACCUAAAAUCUAACAUAGAAGCAAAUUACAAAUCCUAAUUUGGAAACUAAUCACAAUGGUUCGUAAGAAUCUACGAACUGAAGAAGAAAAAAAUGAAAUAAGAGCAGACCAUAUGUAAUUUGAAAUAGGAAGGAGAGAGAAAGCAUUUACCCAACUCUUCAACUCUCAAAGGAAAAAAAAAGAAGAAGGUAUACACCACUUGUAAAUAUUAUAUUUAUGUAGUACAUACCAAAUUCGAGAUUUCGAAGGGAAAAACAGAGAUACGAGAUCAGAAUCAAACAGCGUGCAUCGUUGGUAUGGAUUAUGUGGAGAUUUUUUGGAUCGACAUCGCCGGUAUUUCAACAGUGGGGUGGUUCUGCGUGAAAAAUGGGAUGGGAGAAUAGUGUGAGAAGAAAGAGAAAGGGAAGGGUUUGGCAUGUUUAACUGGGUUUCUUUCACUUCCAAUUGCUUAGAAAAUGAAAAACUAGUUCAAUCAUGGGAAUUGAACUUCCU
rnacentral:lncRNA from 1 species